rnacentral:tRNA from 1 species
GCGGGCAUAACUCAAUGGUAGAGUAUCAGCUUCCCAAGCUGGGUGUUGCGGGUUCGAUCCCCGUUGCCCGCU